CUGGACGAAUCGAGGCUAGUAACAUGGGCUGUCCACAAGGCUUGGCGUUUCGUCGAAUGGGCCAAGCGCGAAGCGCGGCGUCGACCACUAGCGAGGGUCGACGGCAUAGCGGACGGGGCUGUGCACAACACAUUAUUUCUCACGGGUAUUCCGUCGAACAGCCAAGGGGCAUUGAAGAGAACAGCAAGGGCGCUCAGCUAUGGGAGGGAAGCAGGGGCGCCAUGGAGGUUGCUGCCGCUGCUUGGUGUUUUGAAGGGUGGGCUGUUGUUCUUCCCUGCGCUUGAGGGGUUUCCUGCGCACGAGCAGAGAGGGAGGGAGGUGCCAUGGCUGCCACAGAGGGCGUCGGCCAAGGGAACUGCUCCCUGCGCGCAGGGGAGAAAAAGGCUCCCUGCUCUUAACGCAGUGGAGAAGAGGGGGCGUUGGGCAGAGGAAGAAGAAGGGCUUGGGCGCCAUGGCUGA
rnacentral:misc_RNA from 1 species